UGACUGGCGGCGCCUCCGCUCAACCUCCAGGCCUCGUAGGCCUUGAGUAAAGGUUGGAAGAGAUGAACCCAGUUUGAAUUCCUCCGAGAUUCCUUCAAACCUCAGUGACCAGUAGGUCCAAAGGCCAGAGUUCUAAUUCAUGACCCCUUUUUAAAUCUGCUUUAUGCAGAAAAAGCAAGUCUUGUUAUUUGUUUGUUUGCUUGAAUUUGCUCUCCUUCAGCUUACAGGUCAGACCUGAGAACCUGUCCUGCCCCUUCCUGCCUCCCCAAACCGGAUCUGUGGAGGAGGGGGGUCGGUUCCAGACCCUCCUGCCUCGUCGCCCCUUCCAACCCCACCUGCAGGGAGCCGGGCCUGGGAAAAUUGCCCCUGCCACGAGCCACGGCUUCAGGAGAACUGGCUGGCCGUGUGGCUGUCACAGCGCAACAGACGAAUGGCAGUGCCGAGCCCUGCAGGAUUGCCAUCUGGGGUGACCGGGUUAACAGCUCAGGCAUCUGCACCAAUCCCCGGACGGCAGAAGUGAGGGCUCCCUCCUCCGACUGCAGCUUCCCCGGUGCUUGUGCCCAGAAUCCUGGGAGCAUGAGUCAACUCCCAGUACUGUCCGCAAAUGAACAGCACUGUGAUCGCACAGCUUCAUCCGCCUCGUUCUGCGGAGGGAAAGCACCACCAGACAAAAGCCGCUAGCAGCCGUUCCUCCCCUGACACUGCAGGGCUGCCCGGCUUCCGCGUUGUGGCUGCUUUGCUCCCUGCUCACCUUCACCCUGAGACUUCACUGUUAUGGCUGCAAACCGUGCCUCAACUGCCCAUCCCAUCUGAGAGGCCGUGGAAAAUUUGUUUUGAAUUUUGCAUCGGAGACGCGCUCCCAGUGCUGGCCCAGGAGCCGUGGCCUGUUCAACACUGCGACCCGGUGUUCAACAGACAGCUGGGUGGGGAGACUGUUACCGGUGAAAAGAGGUUUCAGAGAGGUGACAACGAGAUGCAACACAUGCCCAAAAACCAAGAAUGAAGGUCCUGCUGGCAACUGGGAGGGAAUUCAAUAUGGACUGGAAAAGACAGGGGAGAGAAACAUUAAUCAACUGCCUCUCACAGGCACCCUGACCUGGGACCAAAUCGGCAACCCAAGCAGGUGCCCUGCCUAGGCUUCGAACCUACGACCUUUCACCUUGCAGGAUGACACCCAACCAACGGAGCCACGCUAGU